AACAUCUCAAAUCUCUCGGAAUUUUUCUUCCGAAAGAAUUGGAUUUGAGCGAUCCCGACUCUUUGUAAAAGAGAGGAGGGCCGCUUGAAAUGCAGGUACAGCUGGACAUUCUUCUGAGCUAAAAGCAUAUUUAUUUAGUCCCGUGAAACGGAUUAUUACUUUUUGCUUCAGCUAACAUAAAGGUCGAAUGAACAAAAACCAAGGCUGAUUGCAGGAAAACUCGUCUUGUCUCGCGCAAGACUUGUAA
rnacentral:misc_RNA from 1 species